GAUGAACGCUAGCGGCAGGCUUAACACAUGCAAGUCGAGGGGUAGGUUACUUCGGUAAUUGAGACCGGCGCACGGGUGCGUAACGCGUAUACAAUCUACCUUUUACAGAGGGAUAGCCCAGAGAAAUUUGGAUUAAUACCUCAUAGUAUUUUUGAAUCGCAUGAUUUGAUUAUUAAAGUUCCAACGGUAAAGAUGAGUAUGCGUCCCAUUAGCUAGAUGGUAAGGUAACGGCUUACCAUGGCUACGAUGGGUAGGGGUCCUGAGAGGGAGAUCCCCCCACACUGGUACUGAGACACGGACCAGACUCCUACGGGAGGCAGCAGUGAGGAAUAUUGGACAAUGGGCGCAAGCCUGAUCCAGCCACGCCGCGUGCAGGAAGAAGGUCCCUAUGGAUUGUAAACUGCUUUUAUACAGGAAGAAACACUCCCUCGUGAGGGAACUUGACGGUACUGUAUGAAUAAGGACCGGCUAACUCCGUGCCAGCAGCCGC
rnacentral:rRNA from 1 species